AAUGGUGCGGUUGGGGUUUCCUGCUCCUAAUCUCCAACCCACACACCAUGAAGGGUUGACACUUGUCCGACCUUUAGUUGGCAAGUUGUUUAGGAAGUUUAUCAUUAGAUUUGAAUUUUAAAAAAAUGUCCCUAUCUCAUUUUGAGUCUAAGUAAAUCUGUUUGUAACUUCCAACCUCUUUCUCUUUAUAAGAGGAGGUUUUGAUGAAUGAAAUGAUAUCAAAUUUAUUUGAAAAAAAAAUUCUAGAGAUUUGUGAGAGAGAGACCACGAAAAGAAGGGCUCUUUUCCAGCCAUUGGUGAGACACCAUUGGAGAGAAGAAUAUAAAGGUGAGACGCCCCAACCUUCUCCUCAAAUUCUAGGAACCUAGGGUGUGAGACUCAACCUAGUUUCCUUAGUUAUCCUUUAGAAAUAAAUUCCAAAAAAAAAAUAAAAAUACUCCAUUGUCCCCUCACGUCCACAAGAGCUUCCAACCUUCAUAUUCUUUGGAAAAAUCUACGUUCAUAUAGCCAACAUAUUGAUCAUCAAAUCGGGUUCAGACUAGUUCCUUUUGGUGUACCGAUUGUGCCCUAGUUCUUCCAUCACCAACCUAUUAGAAAUCCUGAUUAAAUUCAAGUAAAGUUUCUUCCAUCCUCUUCAAUACUUCAUCCCUUUUAGAAUCCAUCUAAUACUCAAAAAAACUCUCAAGCCAUCAGACCUUAUAUUGAUCAAUCCAAUCGGUUCAAAUUGAUUCCUCUCAACGAAUCCAAUUGUAAUCUAGAACCGCCCAACGCCAACCUUUCUUUGGAGCCAAUUGCUGCCAAUUCAAAUCAAUUUUUCCAACCCAUCCUC
rnacentral:lncRNA from 1 species